AUUUUCUUGGAUAAGAAAAUGCGGAAAAUCUAGUUUUGCAACGCUUUGGCCCCUCUCUCUCUCUCUCUCUCUCUCUCUCGCUCUUUAUCUUGCUUGUCUCUACUGUUUCUCUCUCUCUGACUCAAAAUUCCCUUUCAUUCCCUUCCUUUAUCGUUUUCUUAACGUAGAAGUCUGUCGCCGGGGAGAAUCGGGUCAUCCCCAUGUGCACACUUUGACUUGGUUGCGAUCUGAUACAGCGCCGCUCCCAACUUCUUUGGGGAUGGGGCAGUGCUACGGCAAGACCGACCCAAAGGCCGAGCAUGACUUUACUACUACUAUUACUACUAUUGCCGCCUCCUACAACGAUCGGUCUCAUCAGGCGCCUUUACCCUCUGCAAGUGGGACUAAUGGUGCCGUCAACGUGCAGGCGUUAAAGACCAUGCCGGCUCGGUCCUCCAAUCCGAGCCCCUCCCCGAGCCCUUACCCUCGCGGAGUUUCCGCGAGUCCUCUACCCGGCGGCGUGUCGCCGUCUCCAGGGAGAGGGUCCGCGACUCCAAAGAAGUUCUUCCGGAGGCCUUUCCCGCCGCCUUCGCCCGCUAAGCACAUAAAGGCGUCGCUGGCUAAGCGGCUCGGCUACGCCUCCAAGCCCAAGGAGGGCCCGAUCCCUGAGGAGCACGGAGCCGAACCGGAACAAGCUCUGGACAAGAGCUUUGGCUACAGCAAGAACUUCGGAGCCAAGUACGAGCUUGAUAAAGAGAUAGGGCGAGGUCAUUUUGGUCAUACUUGCUCUGCUAGAGGCAAAAGGGGGGAGCUUAAAGAUCAGCCUGUUGCCGUGAAAAUCAUAUCGAAAGCAAAGAUGACGACUGCAAUAUCAAUUGAAGAUGUUCGUAGAGAAGUGAAGAUAUUAAAAGGUUUAUCGAGCCAUAAGCAUCUGGUCAAAUUUCACGAUGCAUGUGAGGACACCAAUAACGUGUACAUAGUCAUGGAAUUGUGUGAAGGUGGAGAACUCCUAGACAGAAUUUUAUCAAGAGGAGGAAGGUAUGCAGAGGAAGAUGCAAAAUUUAUAGUUGUGCAAAUUCUAAGUGUAGUUGCAUUUUGUCAUCUUCAAGGCGUUGUGCACCGAGACUUGAAGCCAGAGAAUUUCCUUUUCACUUCUAGAAGUGAAGAUGCAGACAUGAAGCUUAUUGAUUUUGGUCUUUCUGACUUUAUCAGGCCAGAUGAAAGACUGAAUGAUAUUGUUGGAAGUGCAUAUUAUGUUGCACCUGAAGUCCUUCAUAGGUCUUAUAGUCUGGAAGCAGAUAUAUGGAGCAUUGGUGUCAUUGCCUACAUCUUAUUAUGUGGAAGCCGGCCUUUCUGGGCACGGACGGAAUCUGGGAUUUUCCGUUCAGUGAUUAGAGCCGACCCAAAUUUUGAGGAUUUACCCUGGCCUUCUGUGUCUGCAGAGGCCAAGGACUUUGUGAAAAGGCUCCUGAACAAGGAUUACAGGAAAAGAAUGACUGCAGUUCAAGCUCUCACUCAUCCGUGGUUGCGGGAUGAUAGUCGUCCAAUCCCUUUGGACAUUUUGAUCUAUAAGUUAGUCAAGUUGUAUCUUCAUGCUACACCUUUCAAGCGUGCAGCACUAAAGGCUCUCUCAAAAGCUUUGACUGAGGAUGAGCUGGUGUAUCUCAGAGCUCAGUUCACUCUGUUAGAACCAAAUAGGGAUGGGCGCAUCUCUCUUGAAAAUUUCAAAAUGGCUCUUAUGCGAAAUGAAACUGAUGCCAUGAGAGAGUCCAGAGUUCAUAAUAUUAUAAAUGCUAUGGAACCACUUGCUUUUAGAAAGAUGGGAUUUGAAGAGUUUUGUGCUGCUGCAAUCAGCACACAUCAAUUGGAGGCCCUUGACCGGUGGGAACAGAUUGCUUCCACUGCUUUUGAGUACUUUGAACGGGAGGGUAAUCGUAGCAUAUCUGUUGAUGAAUUGGCAAGGGAAUUGAGUCUUGGACCGACUGCUUAUUCCAUCCUAAAAGAUUGGAUCCGAAACUCAGAUGGAAAGCUUAGUUUACUUGGAUAUACAAAAUUUUUGCAUGGAGUAACACUCCGUAGUUCAAACACAAGACACCAUUAAGUUUGAUAGUUUUCAUCAACACAAUUUAAAAAUUCACGGGAUUUGCAGGAUUUUCUUUUCUUCUCUUUUUCUUUUUCUUUUUGGGGAAUGGGGUAAAGAAAAUGUGUAUAAUUGAAUAUCAGUCAAGCCAGUUCUGUGAUGUGAGUCGUACUUUUUAUAUUGAGAAUUUCUGCUUGCUCUUACCCCAUUUUGGCAGUUCAUAUAUUUCUAUGGGCAGCUAUUAUGACCAUUCAUUAAUUCUUGAAAUCCAGAAGGUUUAUAGUCAGAUGAAAA